AACGAACGCUGGCGGCAUGCCUAACACAUGCAAGUCGAACGAGACCUUCGGGUCUAGUGGCGCACGGGUGCGUAACGCGUGGGAAUCUGCCCUUCGGUUGGGAAGAACUGAGAGAAAUUUCAGCUAAUACCGUAUAAUGUCUUCGGACCAAGGAUUUAUCGCCGGGGGAUGAGCCCGCGUAGGAUUAGGUGGUUGGGGGGGUAAUGGCCUACCAAGCCGACGAUCCUUAGCUGGUCUGAGAGGAUGAUCAGCCACACUGGGACUGCGACACGGCCCCGACUCCUACGGGAGGCAGCAGUGGGGAAUAUUGGACAAUGGGCGCAAGCCUGACCCAGCAAUGCCGCGUGAGUGAUGAAGGCCUUAGGGUUGUAAAGCUCUUUUACCCGGGAUGAUAAUGACAGUACCGGGAGAAUAAGCUCCGGCUAACUCCGUG
rnacentral:rRNA from 1 species